rnacentral:tRNA from 1 species
GCGGGAGUAGUUCAGUGGUAGAGCGUUUGCUUCCCAAGCAAAAUGUCGCGGGUUCGAACCCCGUCUCCCGCUCCA